rnacentral:rRNA from 1 species
UACGUAGGGUGCGAGCGUUGUCCGGAAUUAUUGGGCGUAAAGAGCUUGUAGGCGGUUUGUCGCGUCUGCUGUGAAAUCUCAAGGCUCAACCUUGAGCUUGCAGUGGGUACGGGCAGACUAGAGUGUGGUAGGGGAGACUGGAAUUCCUGGUGUAGCGGUGAAAUGCGCAGAUAUCAGGAGGAACACCGGUGGCGAAGGCGGGUCUCUGGACCACAACUGACGCUGAGGCGCGAAAGCAUGGGGAGCGAACAGG